GACAGAGGUUGCAAGCGUUGUUCGGAAUUACUGGGCAUAAAGCGCACGUAGGCGGUCCGCUAAGUCAUGUGUGAAAUCCCCCGGCUCAACCGGGGAACGGGCGCGGAUACGACCUUCCUUGAGGGGCGUAGGGGGACCUGGAACUUCCGGUGGAGCGGUGAAAUGCGUUGAGAUCGGAAGGAACGCCCGUGGCGAAAGCGAGGUCCUGGACGCCUACUGACGCUGAGACGCGAAAGCCAGGGGAGCGAACGGG
rnacentral:rRNA from 1 species